rnacentral:rRNA from 1 species
GUAACACGUAGUCAACCUGCCCUGGAGACAUGGACAACCCCGGGAAACUGGGAUUAAUCCGUGAUAGGUCAUCUCAUCUGGAAGGAGAGAUGGCUUAAAGGGAUGCGCGGGCUUCUUCUGCGUAUUUGCUCCAGGAUGGGACUGCGUCCGAUCAGGCUGUUGGCGGGGUAAUGGCCUACCAAGCCAGUAACCGGUACGGGCCUUGAGAGAGGUGGCCCGGAGAUGGACACUGAGAGAAGGGUCCAGGUCCUACGGGGCGCAGCAGGCGCGAAACCUUCGCAAUGCGCGCAAGCGUGACGAGGUUAAUCCGAGUGAUUUCCGCUGAGGAGACCUUUUGUCUGCUGUAAAUAGGCAGGCGAAUAAGGGGAGGGCACGCCUGGUGUCAGCCGCCGCGGUAAUACCAGCUCCUCGAGUGGUCGGGGCUAUUAUUGGGCCUAAAGCAUCCGUAGCCGGUUCCGGAUGUCCUCUAAUAAAUCCAACCGCACCACGGUUGACCUGAUUAGAAUACCGCGAAACU